rnacentral:lncRNA from 1 species
UGGAGACCCCAGGUACCGGGGUUCCAGUGGUCCCGGGGGUGCCGGGGGGGGGCCCCGCGCGGCUCAGUUGACCUGCUCCUCCUCCCAGGUGGCGGUGGGGAUGGCGCUGUAGGGGUCCACCACGAGGCGGGCGCACCGCACCGCCAUGGCCAGCAGGAAGAGGCACAAGAGCACCACGAAGGCCACGGCGAUGCCCUUGUCCACGUCGAGGGCCGGCAGCGGUGGCGGCGGCAGCGCACCGGGCUCCAUGCGGGCGACCCUCAGGCGUGCGGCCCCCGGCCCCCCGGCCCCAGCAUCCCCGAUCUUAAAACCUCCCCGUUAUUUAUUUUUUUUUCCCCCCUCUGCAGCUGCUUUACCCCCCUGCGGUGUUAGGUGCGCCGAGCGCGCCGGGGCUCGGCUGCGCCUCUGCAGAGCGGCGGCUGGGAUGGGGAAGGCGACGGGCGCCCGCGCAGGCUGUGGGAUGGCGGAAGCGGCGAUGGCGGAGCGUCUCUGGAUUGCUCGAGAGAGAUGCUGGCGGAUGGAUGGAUUUGCACGAAGUGGGGGCAGUGGUAGAGGCUUGGUGACACCAAACUGCAUCACCCACGGAUCCCAUCCCCGGCAGCCCCGCGCAUGCUGGCCGGAGCUAUGCCUUACCUCCCGGCGGAUGGACAGACAGAUGGACGGACAGGCUGGCCUCUCUGCCCCGAUCGGGGCCACUUCGGGGCCGUGGCACCGUCCCCAGGAGGGGUUCAUGAAUACUGCAAGAGCGCAGUGGCGUCGCCUUUCACGCGCUCCCAGCGACCAGGAGAAAUGAUCCCACGGAUUAAAUUAUCGCCCGCACGGGUUGAAAGUUUUUCCAGCACCUCCUUCGAGCCGUGGGCGAGGGCUCGGCCGGGCGCUCAGCACCCUCGGUGCCCGCCGAUGGGGUGAAAAUUGGCUGUAAUUAAUGAUUUACCGCUUCCUCUCGCCCAGCUCGACCCCAGCCUCAGUCCCAGUCCCAACCCCAGUCAAAAUCCCAACCCCAUUUUUAAUCCAAAUCCCAGCAGAAUUCCUACCCUCCGACAAAAAUAAAAAAAGGCAACACAU